rnacentral:rRNA from 1 species
CUACGGGCGGCACCAGUGGGGAAUAUUGGACAAUGGGGGAAACCCUGAUCCAGCAAUGCCGCGUGUGUGAAGAAGGCCUGCGGGUUGUAAAGCACUUUCGGUUGGGAGGACUGCUUCUAGCACUAAUAUUGUUGGAAGUUGACGUUACCUUCAGAAGAAGCACCGGCUAACUCCGUGCCAGCAGCCGCGGUAAUACGGGGGGUGCAAGCGUUAAUCGGAAUUACUGGGCAUAAAGCGCGCGUAGGCGGCUAGAUCAGUCGGGUGUGAAAGCCCCGGGCUUAACCUGGGAACUGCAUCCGAUACUGUCUGGCUUGAGUACAGGAGAGGAGAGUGGAAUUCCACAUGUAGCGGUGAAAUGCGUAGAGAUGUGGAGGAACACCAAUGGCGAAGGCAGCUCUCUGGCCUGAUACUGACGCUGAGGUGCGAAAGCGUGGGGAGCAAACAGGAUUAGAUACCCUUGUAGUC